rnacentral:rRNA from 1 species
UACGUAGGGUGCAAGCGUUAAUCGGAAUUACUGGGCGUAAAGCGUGCGCAGGCGGUUUUGCAAGCCGGAUGUGAAAUCCCCGGGCUUAACCUGGGAAUGGCAUUUGGGACUGCAAGGCUGGAGUGCGGCAGAGGAGACUGGAAUUCCUGGUGUAGCAGUGAAAUGCGUAGAUAUCUGGGAGGAACACCGGUGGCGAAGGCGGCAUCCUGGACCACGACUGACGCUGAGUGAGCGAAAGCCAGGGGAGCAAAGCGGG